UUUUUCUCUUUUCAAGUUUUUUUUUAUAUGACAUGUUUCUUGUGGAACACGGCAAUUAUUUUUCUGUGUGAAUUCAUGGCGACAGAUACGUUCAUCAAGUUGAAUCCAAUCUUCAUUAAUCCCAACCGCUUCAACCUCCGAGAAUGUUCCAACCUAAGCCCUAAAAGCAUCUCUUCUCUGAGCUGCAUUAGCCCAAGACUGAUAUCUUGCAGCCAUGUCAACCCUAGAACAUUGAUCUACGGCGAGAAUGAUAACAUAUUGUUUCCCAAGAAAAAGAUUCCUUCCAUGAUCCGUUGUCAGGUUAGCUCAGAAUCAUUUUAAUCUUUCGUUGAUCGGGUUAAAUAGUUUUGUUUAAUUUAUUCAGACGAGUCUUGGGAUUGGAAGGAACCAAAAAUGGUGGGAGAAGGAACUGAAACCUAACAUGAAGUCGGUAACAUCACCUCAAGAUCUUGUCGACUCUCUACUUAAUGCUGGAGAUAAACUUGUUGUCGUUGAUUUCUUCUCUCCCGGUUGUGGUGGAUGCAAAGCUCUUUAUCCCAAGGUAAUCCGGUCUCAAUCAUCUGAAAUUAAAAAACAAAAAACAAAACCGGAUACAACAGAUUCUAUUAGUAGACAAUUCAAAAUAGUAAACCGACUCCAAGUGUUAUUAUUAGGAUUUAAUCAAAACCAUCUAUGGGGCUGGAUAAAUAACCAGAAUCCACAAAAUAAAAUCAAACUCGACCGAUAAAAGUGAAUCCAAACCGAUUCAAGCCCGGCAUGGAAAACGGAAUGAAUUUUUUUCUAUAUGGCAUUUCGAGUUAUGGAUUUUACCAGAACCGAACCUGAACCAAGUGUAUAUCAAAAAAACCUGAAAAAAAUUAAAAUUCUAAAAAUAAUUUGUACCAAACUCGAUUUCAAUCUCUAUUAUGUAUAAAAUAUAAUAGGAUAUUAUUGAGUACCUAAAAUAAUUAUUUAUAAAUACUUAAUUUAAUAUAUACUUUUGGUAUUUGGUUAAUGUUGAUGUUUUUAUGUUUUGAUAAUUAUAUUUGAUUAAGUUUAAGAAAAGUUCAUGUUUUGUUUAUAUUUUCAUCAAAAGUGUGAUUUUGGAUUAUAUGUUUCAGUUAUGUAAAAUAGCAGAGAAGAAUCCAGAGGUGGAGUUUCUACAAGUGAAUUACGAAGAACAAAGAAGUCUAUGUCAAAGUCUUCACGUUCAUGUUCUUCCCUUCUUUCGCUUCUACCGUGGCUCCUCAGGCCGCGUCUGCAGUUUCAGUUGUACUAAUGCCACGGUAAUAUUCUAUUUUUAUUCAUUUUUUUCUUCUUUAUAUAAAGAGAAAUUAGGUUCCAUAUACACCAAAAAAACCAAUAUUUGCAAAAUACCUUAUGACUAAUUUUGACACUGUUGAUAUCUUUAUAAUACAUAAUUACCCAUGUUCCAACUAUCUGAACCAUUCUCUCUCUUGUGUUUUCUUGUUAUCUUCUGCCCAGAACAAUCUUCUUACUUCUAUCUCUCUUGUUUAUUCUUAAAAUCACCAAACACAAUUUUUUUCCUAUUAAUCUACAAAUAUUUUUUUCCUUAUCUUUUCUGUUUCCAACGAUGUGAAUCAGCAACGGGUACGUAUAUUUCAAUUAAUAUAGAGUAUGAAUCUAAUGAGUACUAUCCUCACAUGAGUUUUGUAUCUGUCAUCUCUAUUCUUUUACUCAAUCUGACCGUGAUAUGAAUGUUUAAGAAAUUUUGUUUAAUAUACAUGUGAGAUCUCUUCGAUUCAUUCGCCGGUAAAAGCUCAUGGCUGUAUUGAUGGUUUGUAUAAUCAAGAAAUAUAGAAAUUUCCCGACAUUGAUGAAACUUGAAUCUAACAUUUAAGUUAUUGUGCUUGUAGUCGAUAUUUAUUAAGUUAACGGAUAAUUGUUUGAUUACAUGCUACAAAUCAAAUAUUGUGAGUAUAUGCAUGUUUGGUUAGUUGUUACUAAACCGGUGGAUGCCGAUUUUUUCACAAAAUAUAUUAUCAUUAGCUGAUAAAUGUUUACUUAGGUGUUAUAAAACAUGUUAACAACCUUUUAAAACGGUUUGUAAUUUUUUUUAAAAAAAUAGCUUGUCUUAGGCUGAUAAAUAGUUUGUUAGAUGCUAUAAAAUAAGUUAGUAGGUUAAAACAAGUCACAUAAUAGCUGACGUGGAAACUUUGUAUUCAUAUUAUAUAUAACAUAUUAUGAUUAGCUGAUACAUGUUUGGUUAACUCUUACAAAAUAUGUUAUCAUUUUUUUACAUUGUUUGGUAAAAUGCUUAAAGUAGCAAUUGUUAACUAAUAUAUAUAUUAUGUUAGAAGUUAUAAAUUAUGUUAACAUGUUAACUUAAUCAUUAUCUAUUCCACUAAUAUUUUUCUAGCGGUUAACAAUUAUAGUAGUAUAUAUAAUCAAAAUUUAGGGCAAGAAAAAGAAACAUAUAAAAAAUUAGGGCAGGGGUAAAACGGAAAAAUAUGACAAAAAUAUCUACAGUGGACAUGAAAGCUUCGUUGAAGAAUGAGAAGUGUCAUGUUUGCUACUGGCAUUUUCAAGGAAAAUGUUGAUGUUGAAGAGAAAUUAUCUGAUCUUUUGUUUGCUUUGCUUUAGGAUAGUUUUUUAAUUUCUUGGUGAUUUGGGUAUAUUCAGCCAAUAGUCUCUUAUAUAAAAUAUAUGAAAUUUAUUGUUUGUUUAUGUUUGCAUUUACAUCUAUGCUUGUAGUUACUAUAUAUACUGAUUUUUUUCAAAUAAUCCGACAACUAUUUUUUUUUGAGCAACUAUAAUCCGACAACUAAUUCAAGCAUUUCGAACACUAAUUGCGUAUUUUGAUUUUUUGAGCAGAUAAAUAAGUUCAAGGAGGCGUUGGAGAAACAUGGGAGGGAACAAUGUAGCAUUGGAAAGACAAAGGGACUUGAAGAGAAAGAACUAGUCGCCAUGGCCACAAAUAAAGACCUGUCUUUGGAUUAUAAACCCAAAAAUAAUGAAGUAAACCGCGAGAUAAAAGAAAAUGACACAAUUAUCGAAAGAUCUCCAAUCUCAAAAGAACAAGAUGAAAAACGUUCUCUAGUAAUUAGCCGUGCAGGAAUUGUCUAGCGUCUGUUUUAUUUGGGUACAGUUGCUGUUUUAUUUGUCUGGGAGUUUCAACCUUUAGAGUAUCCGUCCAUUUGGAGGCAUAAUAUUGUGCUAUAUAUAUAUAGACCAGUGAUCAACCCGCCCUACGGGCUGGGGUAUGCAAAUAAAUGAAAAAAUAAUAUAUUUUAAAUAUUUAAUUUAUUCUUAACUAAAAAUAAAAUUAAUUUUGAUAUAUACUUUUUUUCAUCACUUAUUCCUUUGAAAAAUAUAUAUUUGAACUGAUACUGUUCUAUAUACAAUAGAACCUCUAUAAAUUAAUAAUGUUGGGACUUUAAAAUUUUAUUAAUUUAUAGAGAUAUUAAUUUACAAAAUUUUUCUUUUUUAGUUUUUUUUUUCUAUUUUUAAAUAUUUUUAUUAAUAAAAUAAGAAAAUAUUUGAUUUUGCCGUAUAUAAAUUAUUUAAAUUUUAGAAAAUUUAUUUUCAUAUUAUUUUAUUAUCUUAUCUGGUGUAUAGUGUUAUGUUUCAUAGAAUUGUUAUGUGGUUUUCGAUAUAAUUUUACUAAAUAUUAUUAAAAUAUAUUUAAAUAUAUUAAAAUAAUAAGAAAAAUAAAAGUAUUUUCAUUGUGAAUAUAAAACCAACACUAAUGUUUAGUUUGUAUUUAUAUAAAAUAUAUAUAGAGAUACACUAUUAAUUUAUAAUUUUAAUGGGACUAUACAUUUACAUGGGAGUUUUAAAAAUAUUAUUAUCUUAUUAUUUUAUCGAUUUGUGUCAUAUUUUACACCGGCCCAAGUUGGGACUGACGAAAUUUAUUAAUUUAUAGAGAUUAUUAAUUUAUCGAGUAUUAAUUUAUAGAGGUUUUGCUAUAUAUGUUUAUUCGGAAAAAAAAUCAGGUGAGUAAACUUUUGUUUAUUCAGUUUUAUUUGUUUUUUUGGUCUAUUUCUGUGUAUUCAGUUUAGUUGGUUGAUAUGUUCUAACCAAUUGGUCCUUGCUUGCCUACCGAACCACAAACCGAUUAAUGAAAACAGAGAACCGAUAAUUUUGGUUUGGUCGGUUUCGUUUGCUUAAGUUUGUACCACAUGUCCAUCGCUAAAACCAAGCUUCGUUGAAGAAUGAGAAGUGUCAUGUUUGCUACUGGCAUUUUCAAGGAAAAUGUUGAUGUUGAAGAGAAAUUAUCUGAUCUUUUGUUUGCAUAAAUCUUUAAAUUUAGUUGCAGGUGAAGUAAACAUACAUGUCUAAAUUAAUCCCAUUAGCCACAAGUAUAGGUUCUCCUCAGGUUCGUACAAUCUCUCAAAGCACCUAAUUUGAUUGAAUUAGUAUUUUAUUUUCUUGAAGAAAAAUUGGUGCCCGUUAUGCUAAUGGUCCAAGGUAAUUUAUUAAAGGUUGAGUUAUUAGGGAUUAUUUGAUCUUGGGACGACAAUGAAUUCCACAAAUCCAUAUGUUGUAUGCUUCCAGCUACUGAGAUUCACUCAAUUUAAUGAAAACAUUAAUUUUUUCUUGAAAAUUUUGACCUUUUAGCUUGCCCAUUUAAUACUCGUUUAAAGCAUGUUUUCGGAAUGAGUUAACGUACAUUGGAAUUAUAAAAUGUCAACUGAUGUAGAUUCUAUGCAUUGUGCUCUUAUCGUAAUCUGAUUUUCCUUACUUGUGUACUCUUCCAAAUUUGCCUUCACACACAUAUUUUUGUGUUCAUGUUAACAGGUCUAGGAAGCAAUGAUGAUUAUGGCUUCGUCUUAUCUCUGAUUAUACUUACGAUAGUUAUUCUGCCUUUUUUGACAUGUCCUCUGUAAAUACACCUUUGAUCUGACCUCUGUUGCUUGGAAAAUACCAAAAUUCCACAUGCAAAAACCCAUCUCGAAACUAUUUUCUUCCUUCUCUUAUUUACUCUGUUUCGUUCUCUCCACUGCUCUGACCUGUGUCUAAUUAAAAAACACUGCUCUUGUUUUAGAAAUUUCGGUUUGUAAACCUAUUUCUUUCUCCCAAAUCUCGUUUUUGAGAAGGAUGGUGGAGAGAGCAGAAGAGAAAUUUCACAAAACCUCUUCUCUCUCUGCUAUUCAACUUUUUUUCUCUUUUCAAGUUUUUUUUAUAUGACAUGUUUCUUGUGGAACACGGCAAUUAUUUUUCUGUGUGAAUUCAUGGCGACAGAUACGUUCAUCAAGUUGAAUCCAAUCUUCAUUAAUCCCAACCGCUUCAACCUCCGAGAAUGUUCCAACCUAAGCCCUAAAAGCAUCUCUUCUCUGAGCUGCAUUAGCCCAAGACUGAUAUCUUGCAGCCAUGUCAACCCUAGAACAUUGAUCUACGGCGAGAAUGAUAACAUAUUGUUUCCCAAGAAAAAGAUUCCUUCCAUGAUCCGUUG
rnacentral:lncRNA from 1 species